rnacentral:tRNA from 1 species
GCCUGGCUGGCUCAGUUGGGAGAGCAUGAGGCUCUUGAUCUCGAGGUCAAGGGUUCAAGCCCCACGUUGGGUG